AUUGAACGCUGGCGGCAUGCCUUACACAUGCAAGCCGAACGGCAGCACGGGAGCAAUCCUGGUGGCGAGUGGCGAACGGGUGAGUAAAGUAUCGGAAAGUGCACAGUCGUGGGGGCUAACGUAGCGAAAGUGACGCUAAUCCCGCAUACGAUCAAUGGAUGAAAGCGGGGGAUCGAAAGACGUCGCGCGAUUGGAGGGGCCGCUAACAGAAUAGGUAGUUGGUGGGGUAAAGGCUCACCAAGCCGACGAUCUGUAGGUGGUCUGAGAGGACGACCAGCCACACUGGGACUGAGACACGGCCCAGACUCCUACGGGAGGCAGCAGUGGGGAAUUUUCGACAAUGGGCGAAAGCCUGAUCCAGCCAUGCCGCGUGCAGGAUGAAGGCCUUCGGGUUGUAAACUGCUUUUGUACGGAACGAAAAGGUUUGGCCUAAUAAGCUGAACUCAUGACGGUACCGUAAGAAUAAGCACCGGCUAACUACGUGCCAGCAGCCGCGGUAA
rnacentral:rRNA from 1 species